ACCAAAAAGCUGCCGUGGGAACUUUACGCCUUCCAUAGAGACGUUCGCGUGGUCUCAAAACACCGACGUCAAACUGUUGGUCGUCGAAGUGUUUCUCUUCGCACCCCACGCCUCAACGCGUAUAGUGGUCGGAGCCUCACUACUCUCUCGACCUCCACAACACGCCGCACACUAGUCCUUGGGCUAUGUUCAACCCUAGCCGCUCUGCUGUCACUCACGACUGUAGAACCGUACAGCAAGUUCGACUAUCGAAUCCAAGGAGCUGACGUGGACCCAGAUGGCUACGCUAAAGCCGCAGGAAAUCUCGAGGCGCAAGGCAAGACAUAA
rnacentral:lncRNA from 2 species